UUGCAGUUUCUGGCCCGCCUUCCCACGCCUGCAGCCAACGCCCCAGACAACACCAGUGACAGCAGGAGGCAUUAGGCGGGAAAGUCUCGGUUACCGAUGACAUUCAGAAACAGCAGCAUCCACCUCGUCUGGUCUGCCCACCAGGGAUGGAAGCCGCCUGUCGUGGCCUCCGCUGCCCCUCUCCCUCUCCUGCCGCUGCUGUUGUCGCCACUUCAGGUCCGGGCGAAGUAUUGUUUUAUUCACGCGGGGUUUUCCGGCACCUUCGUUUCCAGGGCGGACCAAAGACGGGAAAGGGAAUUAGAUAUAAGUUUGGGAUUUUUUUUUGUUUUUGUUGUUCGUGUUUUUUUGUUGUUGUUGUUGAUGUUUUGGUUAUUGUUUUAGUCGUUGUCGUUGAUGUUGAUUUUGUUGUUUAGUUGUUGUAGUUUUGUCAUCGUCUUAGGGGGAGGAUCGCAUUAGGUUAAAUAAGAAACUGUGCAUAUAUACGAUGUAGAAAUCAGAAUAAGUUUUGUUUUCGUUAUUAUUUAUCAUAGUGUAGUUAUGACAUCAGAUUCUUUAUGCAGACAAUAAUAAUGAGUCGUGUAUUUAUUUGCAACCAUGGAAAAAUAAAUUACCUGCACUGUUAAUUGGCUCCCUGCAUCAGUGAUUGUCAAAAGUAAAUAUGAUAUACAUUUAGUUAUUCUGUAGCUAGAUAUUACAAAAAAAAUAAAUAACUGACCACAUUAAAUACUGCUGCUCGAC